rnacentral:rRNA from 1 species
GAUGAACGCUGGCGGCGUGCCUAACACAUGCAAGUCGAACGAAGCUCUCUUGUUUAAGACUUCGGUCAAGAAGAAGAGAUGACUUAGUGGCGGACGGGUGAGUAAUGCGUGAGCAACCUGCCUCGGAGUGGGGGACAACAGUUGGAAACGACUGCUAAUACCGCAUAACGUGCAGAGGGGACAUCCCUUUUGCACCAAAGAUUUAUCGCUCUGAGAUGGGCUCACGUCUGAUUAGUUAGUUGGUGAGGUAACGGCUCACCAAGACUGCGAUCAGUAGCCGGACUGAGAGGUUGAACGGCCACAUUGGGACUGAGAUACGGCCCAGACUCCUACGGGAGGCAGCAGUGGGGAAUAUUGGGCAAUGGGCGAAAGCCUGACCCAGCAACGCCGCGUGAAGGAAGAAGGCCUUCGGGUUGUAAACUUCUUUUAUGAGGGACGAAAAAAAUGACGGUACCUCAUGAAUAAGCCACGGCUAACUACGUG